GACGAACGCUGGCGGCGUGCCUAAUACAUGCAAGUUGAGCGCUGAAGGUUGGUACUUGUACCGACUGGAUGAGCAGCGAACGGGUGAGUAACGCGUGGGGAAUCUGCCUUUGAGCGGGGGACAACAUUUGGAAACGAAUGCUAAUACCGCAUAAAAACUUUAAACACAAGUUUUAAGUUUGAAAGAUGCAAUUGCAUCACUCAAAGAUGAUCCCGCGUUGUAUUAGCUAGUUGGUGAGGUAAAGGCUCACCAAGGCGAUGAUACAUAGCCGACCUGAGAGGGUGAUCGGCCAAAUUGGGACUGGGACACGGCCCAAACUCCUACGGGAGGCAGCAGUAGGGAAUCUUCGGCAAUGGACGAAAGUCUGACCGAACAACGCCGCGUGAGUGAAGAAGGUUUUCGGAUCGGAAAACUCUGUUGGUAGAGAAGAACGUUGGUGAGAGUGGAAAGCUCAUCAAGUGACGGUAACUACCCAGAAAGGGACGGCUAACUACGUG
rnacentral:rRNA from 1 species